CUUGGUCAUUUAGAGGAAGUAAAAGUCGUAACAAGGUUUCCGUAGGUGAACCUGCGGAAGGAUCAUUAAAAAAAAGAGAAACGUCCCGUUUUUUUCAUAAGAAUGGGUUCUAUUCCCUUAAACCGUGUCUACAUACCUUUGUUGCUUUGGCAGGCCGCCUUCGGGCGUCGGCUCCGGCUGAUAGUGCCUGCCAGAGGACCCAAACCCUAUGUUUAGUGAUGUCUGAGUACUAUAUAAUAUUUAAAACCUUCAACAACGGAUCUCUUGGUUCUGGCAUCGAUGAAGAACGCAGCGAAAUGCGAUAAGUAAUGUGAAUUGCAGAAUUCAGUGAAUCAUCGAAUCUUUGAACGCACAUUGCGCCCCUUGGUAUUCCGAGGGGCAUGCCUGUUCGAGCGUCAUUAUAACCACUCAAGCCUGGCUUGGUAUUGGGGUUUUCGCGUGUUCGCGGCCCUUAAAAUCAGUGGCGGUGCCGUCUGGCUCUAAGCGUAGUAAUUUCUCUCGCUAUAGGGUUCCGGUGGUUACUUGCCAAAACCCCCCAUUUUUUCUAGGUUGACCUCGGAUCAGGUAGGGAUACCCGCUGAACUUAAGCAUAUCAAUAAGCGGAGGA
rnacentral:rRNA from 1 species